GCUGAGUUCCAGAACUUGGUGCUGAGGUUCUGAAAGAAGAACCAGGUUUCGGAACCUAUCAUCAAGUUUCACAUAACCAGUACUCUCUACCUGCACUGCUACACUGGAUGGCUCAAGAACAACAUCUCUGGUUCCAAAACCAAGUCCCAUACGACUUUUCCAGCAGUGCCAACUUCACAUCUUUUGUGGAAUUGCCACACGAGAACCAAGUCCCAUACGACUUUUCCAGCAGUGCCAACUUCACAUCUUUUGUGGAAUUGCCGCACGAAUUCAACUAGAAUCCAC
rnacentral:lncRNA from 1 species